rnacentral:tRNA from 1 species
CGAUCACCUCGUCGAUGCGGUUCGGUGACAGUCCCUGGCCCGGGCUGCGGAUCUCGAUCAUCUCCCGGGUGAUCGUC